GACGAACGCUGGCGGCGUGCUUAACACAUGCAAGUCGAACGGAAAGGCCCUGCUUUUGUGGGGUGCUCGAGUGGCGAACGGGUGAGUAACACGUGAGUAACCUGCCCUUGACUUUGGGAUAACUUCAGGAAACUGGGGCUAAUACCGGAUAGGAGCUCCUGCUGCAUGGUGGGGGUUGGAAAGUUUCGGCGGUUGGGGAUGGACUCGCGGCUUAUCAGCUUGUUGGUGGGGUAGUGGCUUACCAAGGCUUUGACGGGUAGCCGGCCUGAGAGGGUGACCGGCCACAUUGGGACUGGGAUCCGGCCCAGACUCCUACGGGAGGAAGAGGUGGGGAAUAUUGCACAAUGGGCGGAAGCCGGAUGCAGCAACGCCGGGUGCGGGAUGACGGCCUUCGGGUUGUAAACCGCUUUCGCCUGUGACGAAGCGUGAGUGACGGUAAUGGGUAAAGAAGCACCGGCAAACUACGU
rnacentral:rRNA from 1 species